rnacentral:rRNA from 1 species
UACGUAGGGUGCAAGCGUUGUCCGGAAUUAUUGGGCGUAAAGAGCUCGUAGGCGGUCUGUUGCGUCGGCUGUGAAAACCCGGGGCUCAACCCCGGGCCUGCAGCCGAUACGGGCAGACUAGAGUUCGGCAGGGGAGACUGGAAUUCCUGGUGUAGCGGUGAAAUGCGCAGAUAUCAGGAGGAACACCGGUGGCGAAGGCGGGUCUCUGGGACGUCACUGACGCUGAGACGCGAAAGCGUGGGGAGCAAACAGG